AUUGAACGCUGGCGGCAGGCCUAACACAUGCAAGUCGAGCGGGGGUAGCAAUACCCUAGCGGCGAACGGGUGAGGAAUGCUUGGGAAUCUGCCUCGUAGUGGGGGAUAACGUUCCGAAAGGAACGCUAAUACCGCAUACGUCCUACGGGAGAAAGGGGGGGAUCUUCGGACCUCUCGCUAUGAGAUGAGCCCAAGCGGGAUUAGCUAGUUGGUGAGGUAAAGGCUCACCAAGGCGACGAUCCCUAGCUGGUCUGAGAGGAUGAUCAGCCACACUGGAACUGAGACACGGUCCAGACUCCUACGGGAGGCAGCAGUGGGGAAUAUUGGACAAUGGGCGCAAGCCUGAUCCAGCCAUGCCGCGUGUGUGAAGAAGGCCUUCGGGUUGUAAAGCACUUUAAGCGAGGAGGAAGGUUCGUUACUUAAUACGUAACGGAAUUGACGUUACUCGCAGAAUAAGCACCGGCUAACUCUGUGCCAGCAGCCGCCGUAAUAC
rnacentral:rRNA from 1 species